UUCUGGCUCAGGAUGAACGCUAGCUACAGGCUUAACACAUGCAAGUCGAGGGGCAGCAUUGGAGUAGCAAUACUCAGAUGGCGACCGGCGCACGGGUGAGUAACACGUAUCCAACCUGCCGCUUACUCGGGGAUAGCCUUUCGAAAGAAAGAUUAAUACCCGAUGGUAUAAAGAGUUCGCAUGUUCUCUUUAUUAAAGAAUUUCGGUAAGCGAUGGGGAUGCGUUCCAUUAGAUUGUUGGCGGGGUAACGGCCCACCAAGUCUACGAUGGAUAGGGGUUCUGAGAGGAAGGUCCCCCACAUUGGAACUGAGACACGGUCCAAACUCCUACGGGAGGCAGCAGUGAGGAAUAUUGGUCAAUGGACGCGAGUCUGAACCAGCCAAAGUAGCGUGAAGGAUGACUGCCCUAUGGGUUGUAAACUUCUUUUAUAAGGGAAUAAAGUGAGGGACGUGUCCCUUUUUGUAUGUACCUUAUGAAUAAGGAUCGGCUAACUCCGUGCCAGCAGCCGC
rnacentral:rRNA from 1 species